rnacentral:lncRNA from 1 species
CUAAGGGCGUGGGUGUCGGAGUCUUGCAGGCUGGGGUCCCAGGUGAGAGAUGCCAGCAGGGAGCUCUAGAUGGGGAACUGGGUGAGCCUGGCUCGGUAAGGGCGUGCUCAGAACACCCCAUCCCCGAACACGGUCUUGUGUGAUAAAAUGUCACGCAAGAAGAAUCUGAAACCGCGAGAAGAGGAGGACACGGCCAGACUGCACCGAACCCCGGCACCUCUGUGGGGAAAAGCAGGUCAGGCUGAGCGGGGCCGGCGGGGACACGCGCUCCUGGGCUUCUCCAGAGUCUGCCGGGGCCGGGCCCGGGACCGAGGCUGGGACGCGCUGUGCAGUCCCACCCCUCACACCCCUCGCACGCCUGGAAACACCCUCGGGGUAACACAAGCCGGGGUUGAGUUUCUUGAAGAGAAGCUGGCUGCAUCCUGGAGCCAGGGAAAGAGGAGCACAGGGGCCAAGCGGUCCAGGGCCACGGAGGAGCAGGACCCCUGGGGAAAGGCCCGGGUCUAGGCCGGGGCCAGGGGACCGUGGUGGAGACCUCAAAAAUGGCAGAACACGGAAGCAGGGCGAGAAAAGUAAACGUAGUCCUUGCGGCAGUUUGAAAUACACGCGGGUAAACGCUGGGUGACUCCGCCCGGAUGCAGAGUGGGGGUCUGUGUCUCUCCCCACAGGCUGCAGGGACCGGGCUCUGGGUAACCAGCAGAAGGUAACAGAACGAGGCUGCUUUUCCUCCAGGCUGUUCUGGUGUCCGCGCGUGGCUUGUGCGCUGACUCCUGACUUGGAGCGCCGCGUGGCCAGAGAAAUCUGGGUGCCUCCAGGCCACCAUGGUGAGAGGAGAGGCCACCGCACGAACGGAAGAAGCGAUGGAGACGGUCUUUACGACCUAAGAACAGAAAGAGUUUCUUAUACACAAUCCGAAAAGUAAAAAUUGAUUGAUUGAUUGAUUGAGAUGGAAUCCCACUCUGUCGUCCAGGUUAGAGUGCAAUGGCUUGAUCUCGGCUCAUUGCAACCUCCGCCUCCCGGGUUCAAGCGAUUCUCCUGCCUCAGUCUCCCGAGUAGCUGGGAUUAUAGGCGCCCGCCACCACGACUGGCUAAUUUUUAUAUUUUUAGUAGAGACGCAGUUUCACCGUGUUGACCAGGCUGGUCUUGAACCCCUGACCUCAGGUGAUCCGCCUGCCUCGGUCUCCCAAAGUGCUGGGAUUACAGGCGUGAGCCACCGUGCUGGGCCAAAAAUCAAUUUUAAAACGACCACAUGAAAAAUAAAUCUCCUGUAUCACAGAGCAUGUUCUGAGGAAAAUGAAAGCCACAGAUCCAGAAGAUAUUUGUGACACAUAUGAAAAACAAAAACUCAUAUUCAAAACAUACACAGCAUUGCUAUGAAUCAUUAAGAAAAAUGAUUUCGUCUCCUCUACAGGAGCCUGAGUGAAGGACAAGGACAGAUCAUUAUAAACCAGGGAGCUUGAAGAGCUAGUUAACAAGCACAGAAAAUAUGUUCCCCCACACUGUUAAUCAAGAAAAUUAAAACUGUAAUGAGAUGCCGCAUUGUAUCCAUGGGAUUUCUAAAAGUACAAAGUUCCACAAUACCCGUUGUUGACGGAGCAGGGAAACCGCAGGAGCCUGCAGGAGAUGAGAUUGUAAAUGUGCAAGGACAUUUUGGAGAAGAGUUGACAACAUCUCACUCACGUGUAUCAAGCCAAGUGCCGAAAGAAGAAUUGGUUGUCAUAAAGAAAACAGAAACCCAGAAUGGAUGUAGCUUAUCCCUCCGAUGGAAAGUUACAAAGAAGUUAAAAUGAAUGGGCUGCAUCUCUGUGUAACAAUUUGGAUCAAUAUCAAAGACACAUUUGUUAAAGCAAGGUGUACAAUGAAACCUGCAACAUGAUUUGUCUGUUUAGUAAAACACAGAAAAUCUAACUCCGCCUGGCUUACGAACACACACAUGUGUUAGAAUUUGGGAAAAGGAAAGGGAGGGAGGCCGGCUACACGUGAACUUUUGGAAAAUCUCAGAGGGUCUGGGGCACCAGGUGGAGACCAUGGCAGCCUUCAGGGAUAUGAGGUGAGUCCUUCAACUACAUUUGCAAGGUUUUAUUUCUUAGGAAAAUAUUUAAAGCAAAUAUUUCAAAAAUGACUAAAUCUGAGUGGUAGGGAGUCACUGUUUUAUAGAUUAUUCACUUUUCCCUGGGCUUGGAAUGUUUCGUUUUUUCAAAGGUCAAAUGAGAUGCUGCCUUUCCACCAGAUAAAGAUUUACCUGGUGCCUCUGUUACUGCCCAGCAGCGCCUGAGGACGUGGGGGCUGCUGCCCAACACGGAGGCUGGGCUGGCCUGGUCCGUGGGCUCAGGUUCUCAUCCUCUGCACGUGCAUCUGCCUCCUGUGCGUCUCUGUGCACACGCUUGUAUCUGGAUGCAGAGUCCUGUGCCCAGUGUACAUGCACAGAUGUGCGCAUCUGGGUAGAUGUGCUGGUUCGCUGUGUGAGCAUGCACAGACCCUUGUUCACCGUGUGUGCGCAUCCGUGCAGUGUGGACAUCUGGACAGGACCCCGUGCUCCCUGUCUCUGCCGCUGAGAUGUUUCCUAGCUGUGCACAGAAUUCACUCUCCUACUGGAGGGCUCUGACUGAAAGCUCUGAUGCGGCAGGCCUUCUCUUGACACUUGGUUAAGGUAUGCCUCUCACAUCUGUAUGCCCACAUCUGCUCUCCUCCCUCCCUCCUUCUCAGCACUUAGCCCUCUGAUAUGGUUUGCUGGCGUCCCCACCCAAAUCUCAUCUUGAAUUGUAGUUCCCAUAAAUCCCCACGUAUUGUUCGAGGUACCCCGUGGGAGAUAAUUGAAUCAUGGGGGUGGUUACCCAGAUGCUGCGGUUCUCGUGUUAGUGAGUUCUCGUGAGAUCUGAUGGUUUUAUAAGGGGCUUUUCCCCCUUUUUCUCGGCACUUCUCCUCGCUGCCGCCACAUGAAGAAGGAUGUGUUUGCUUCCCCUUCUGCCAUGAUUGGAAGUUUCCUGAGACCCCUCCAGCCAUGCUGAACUGAUUUCCUGAAGACACCAUCCCAGUCAAGUGGUCUGCCUCAUACUGAGCCACCAGACCACCCAGCAUGUCCUCACCCGCGUGGACAGAUGACAGGGGGCUCUGAGCAUGCCCCAGUGCACCUUACGCACCUGUGAAGGUUGGGAGCCUGAGUGCAGCUCCUGUGGCACUGCCCGUGGCCAGGGAGAUGCCUCCUCAGUGCUCCUGACCCUCGGUGGAGGACCGGCCAGCGUGUGUGCCGACAGUGUGUCCACACAGGUGUGCUGCGCCCAAUGGGCAAGUCGGAAACAAAGGAAAAUGCUCUCUGAAGGAAAAGGCAAAGCAAUUUGGAUUUCUGCGAGAAAAUGAGACUGCAUGUGGCACUGUAAAUACCCUUGCUGCUGAACUUCUCGCUCCCCCCAGAUACACCCUUCAUAUUGACAUGUCUAGAACCUUAAACUGAACCAAGUUGAAAAGUGAGAUUAAUUAGGGCUGAGUUAACAGUUAACACAUACAAUGAAAUAUUGAAUAAGGCUUACUGAGCAAACAAGAAUAUACAGAAGUGGAGGAGACAAAGAGGAUAUUAAAAAUGCAGACAGUGAUGAGGCAGAUAGCUGGGACAAAUAAUGAAAAAUAGUAAAGGAGAUAAGGCAGAUAUUGGAGGAGCAAAGAGUCUCUGAAAUAGAUAUCGGUAUUGAAAGAUGCUAAACACGCUUCUAAAGAGACUUUCUAGCCGACACAGGGAGCUCACUGAUGGAUGAAGUAGAAACAUUUUUAAAUGGAAUCAAACAGGGCAAAGCGGGAGAAGAAAAAGAAGUAGGUAAACCAGUAAAUUAACUUUUCUCGUGUGUGCUGUGUACUAUUUGUGAGUGAGCAAUGAACGCUGUGGCUCCCUGGAGGGGCUGUGGUGGGAAGUUUCACUGCGAUCAAGUAGAGGUGGUGCCUUUGGACCUCUUCUCCUGAACCUGCAGGGAGAGGCGCAGAAUAUUCACAAGGUGAAGAUGCAACAAUUCAAAUGAGUGUCCAGGUUUUCAGGGUGGUUGCUAAACCCCAAAAGACCGAUAGCUUCGGGCAAAAGACUGCAGAAAGAACAGCUUUACAUUUUUACGGAAGCAAUGGGAAAUAUACCCUGUAAGCCUUGAAAAAUUCCCGAAGGGAUUCCUGUUCAUUCCUGUGGAUCCUAAUGGGCCAGCAUAGACCUGUUAGUCAAAAGAGGAUUUAUCUACAUUGCACACUCAUUCAGGCAGGCAGGGAAGUCAACGCCACUUUCAGAUGUUUGUAGAGCAUGAACUCUGUCCGUUCCCACGCCCUCCAAAGGCUGUUACACAGGGAUGCCCGCUUCUGGACAGAAGUGAUUCAUGCAGGAUGAGAACCAUGACCACAGAAGAUUUUGUGCAUGUGGUUAUUUCAAUAUUUAAUUUAAGUGUAUGCAUGAGUGUUCAGGAUAAAAAUGCUUGGAGUGUACUUUAAUUCCAUUAAAAAUGUAUACAUUA